CUGUUGAUUGAAAAUCUGGUAUAAAAGAUUGAAUCUUUGAUAAACCCUCGAAAAAUACCUACUGGACUAGUGUCCAUCAUUUAUAAGAACUUACUUUGGACUGGUUUCAGAGAAGAUAAGAUAUGGGGUGUGUAACUCUGUACAUUUCUUCUCCCAGAUCUGUCGUCUCCAGAGGCACCUGUCUGCCGGGGAGCAUCAGCAAGACCUGUUCCAUGAACAGCCAGCCAUGUUCGUGUCCCAGCACUCCCAGCCGCCCACUCAGAGUCUGGUCGAGCUGAUCCAGCUCUGUGGAGGAAGAGUCUGCAAAACUGUGCGGCAGGCGGGAAUCUGCAUCGGAAAGUACAGCGGCCGGAUACCAGAGGGGUGCCGGAUCCUGUCGGAGCAGUGGGUGCUGGACAGUAUCACACUUUUGAAGCGGCUGUCGUACGACAACUACGACCUGGAAUAAGACCUGAAUCUUUUCUUGUGAAGUUUAAUUGGUUUUAUUCUGGACGGAGAGGGGUCACAUAACCUGUUUCUACCUGACAGUGUUUCACAUGUGUAGGUUUCUCAUCAUGCUUAGCAAAAGUGUUCAGGGGAUUUACAUAAAUCCUCCCCUUUCUAAGACUUUAUUGCCUGGUUACCAUGGAAAAUUCAGCAACAGCUGAAUGAGUUCCUGUGAAUAUGGAAAACUGCUUUUACAUAGUGUUAUAUUUUAUCCACUGCAGCAUAAUAGUUUUUUUUAUGGCGGUGCGAUCAUUUGUGGUUUUUAACAAUGUGUUUUUACUGUUCACUGUGCACUUAUAUAUAUGUUCUGUGAAGUCAUUGUUAAUAAAUACUUUUUUAACGUGCUGAUUUAA